rnacentral:rRNA from 1 species
UACGUAGGGUGCAAGCGUUGUCCGGAAUUAUUGGGCGUAAAGAGCUCGUAGGCGGCUUGUCACGUCGGAUGUGAAAGCCCGGGGCUUAACUCCGGGUCUGCAUUCGAUACGGGCUGGCUAGAGUGUGGUAGGGGAGAUCGGAAUUCCUGGUGUAGCGGUGAAAUGCGCAGAUAUCAGGAGGAACACCGGUGGCGAAGGCGGCUCUCUGGUCCGAUACUGACGCUGAGGUGCGAAAGCGUGGGGAGCAAACAGG